CUAUUUUCAGUACCCCAUAUGAUCCCAAACAGUUAGCAGUAAAGAGAAUUGUUGGUGUCCAAGGAGAUAUUGUAAGGUCAAAGAAUAAAAACAAGAGAACACAUAUUCCUGUAAAUUAUGUUUGGGUUGAGGGAGACAACUCUAAAUACAGUCAUGACAGUAAUAGCUAUGGACCAGUUUCAAGAAGCCUCAUUACAGCAAAAGCAACCCAUGUUGUUUGGCCACCAAGCAGAUGGCAAAAACUGGAUUUCUGUUGAAAUAGCCUCAGACCGUGUAUUAAAACAUGAACAAUAUGCCUUACAACUUUAACAAUUUACAGUAUUUUGAGAGGAAUUUUAAGGAUGUUUAAACUGUGAUGAGUGUCAUUAAGUUUGAUAUUUAAUGCCUUCAAUGUUUUUAUCAACUACAUGUAUUGAAACAAAGUAGAUAAGUAACUUAGACAUGGAUUUGAUCACCAGAGCAUAACAUAAUGGUUAGCUAAUGCUUAGCAUUGAACAGUACUCAGCAUAACCACAAUAGAUCAAGUAACUAUAAGUGGUGGUUAGUUUUUUAAAUUUUAGCUCCAAUUAGCCUUUGAAUUGACCAAACUUUGCUUUUAGUAUUUAUCUUUUGGAAAAUGUUUGAUGUCAUCUGAAAUUUGAUUGUUUAAGUGAAGGUACUCUGUCCACUCAUUUCUACAUGCCUUGUCCUUAGCCAAUGUGUUAUGUUUCUUUAACACAGAACACCCACUAAGAUUUAUACUGUCUACCCAUCAACAUUUGCGGAAGAGAAUAAUAUCACUUGUUAGUUGAAGAGUGUUCCUGUAUUUCAGAAAUGCUCAGAAUGGUCUUAUUUAGUAUGAUGGCAAUUUUUCAUUGUUCUUGCAGGAUUGAGGCUUUUUGUCUAUGAAGCCAUUUGAUUGCCAGGUGAAACUAUCAGGUGUUUAAAAUUUUACUAUUUUUAUUUAAUUUUAAAAAGUCGUCUCAGCUUAACUGUGGGCAAUCGUUGCUUUUGAGUGUUUCAACUUGACAAAAGUAGACCAAAUGUGUAGUUAUAUUUUAACGACAGUUUUAUUUUUGUGUCCGAUUAUGCACGUAUUUCAUAUAGUUACUGUUCAUGUCUGUUGCAACAAGAUCUGUCAAAUGUAAAUAAGUCAAUCGCAGUAUGUUUCUGAUAGCACAUCAUCUGUGAUCUGUUUGAACAUGCCUAGACAACGUUAUAGUAACACAUUUUGGUUUGGAUUUUUACGGAUAAAAUGUUAGGGAUACAGAGAAUAUUGAUGACUUUUUUAAAAAGCAUAAAUGUAAUUAUGAGACUGUAAUACAUAUAUAAUAUUGUACAGUUUUUGUUAUUAUAAAAAGAUGUUAUUAUAUCUAUGACUUGUAGUUAUUAGUCCCCUACCGGUUUAACCGGAGGGAACUUUAGGUUUACCCUCCGUCCGUCUGUCCGUCCGUCCACAAAACUGGAUCCCGCGAUAACGCAAAAAGUACUGAAAAUAUUUUUAUGAAACUUGAUAUAUGGAUAGUUGGCAGUAUGUAGAUUAUGCACGUCUUUUUUUUAUUCCUUUGUUGAAAAUUCUGGUUGCUAUGGCAACAAAUAGUCUGAAAAUAUGGCAAAUUUAACACCUAAACUGGAUCCAGUGAUAACUCAAAAAGUACUGAAAAUAUUUUUAUGAAACUUGAAAUAUGGGUAGAUAGCAGUCUUGAGAUUAUGCACAUCUUUUUAUUUUCUUCCUAUGUUGAAAAUUCUAGUUGCUAUGGCAACAAAUAGCCUGAAUUUCAAGAUUUCUGAUUUAAAUUUUUCAGCUUUUUCACUAUUAGUUCUUUAUUUUUUAAGGUGUUUACUUCAAACUUUAAAUAUAAGUUUCUAGUCAUCAACCACAUCAUAUGUGACAAGGUUUACAACUCUAGCACAAAAAUUAUCAGUAUUACCUCCCUUGAACUUAGAAUUUUAAUGAAAAAAAAUGUUGUCUUUUUUAAUAACCUCUUUAUUUCCUAAUGUAUCUACUUCAAACUUCAUAUAUAUGUUUCUUAUUAUCACUCAACAUUUUUGAGAAGGUUAAAUACUCUAGUAAGACUAUUUCCAGAAUUAUCUCCCCCUUGAACUUAGAUUUUUUUUCGAGAAAUUGGUAUUUUUCACUCCAACUUCUUCAUUCCUUAUAGGAUUUACUUUAAAAUCCCACAUCAUAAUAAUAUGACAAGAUUGUAUAAACAUAAUUUCCUUACUAGGCAGGGAAACUUAACACAUUACUGUGAUAUAGACAAACUUUGAACUCAAAAGAUUUAAGUUCAUUCAUGUCAUUCAUUCACUGGUAAAAUUGAAUGGCCAUAAUGGCCCAUCAGAAUGUUGCUGGGGUUCUAACCGGUAGGGGACUUAUGGAUUGCUUGCAAUACUAUGAUAAUUGCUUGUUAUAUCUGUCAUUUGUAGUAUAAAAAAGGAAACCCUGUAUUUAGUCUCAAACUGUCAAGAAUUUUAUUGAGAGAUCACUUUAUUAAUAGACUGCUUUUUUGCAGUCCCUUGAGUGGUCUCUUGAUACAAUGUUGACUUUAUAACGUGCAUGUUUUAAAGGGCCCUCCCUUUACAAUUUCUCUGUCACUGUAAGAAGAAAUAUUUGCUACUGAGGUAUUUCUGGACAGAAGGGAUUAAUUUCCUUUAAAAUACGUUCAUUUUCAAAAGUAUUUUCAAAGCAAUUACAGGAUAUGAUUUUAACUUUUAUCAUAUUAGGGAAAUAUUUCAUAUUACAAAAAAUGUAUUUUAUUUUGUAAAUGACAAACUUAAAAAAAAAUAAAAACUUGUAAAAUUUAA